rnacentral:rRNA from 1 species
UACAGAGGUCUCAAGCGUUGUUCGGAUUCAUUGGGCGUAAAGAGCGUGUAGGCGGCCGAGUAAGUCCGGUGUGAAAACUCGAGGCUUAACCUCGAGAUGUCAUCGGAAACUAUUCGGCUAGAGUCCGGAAGAGGGGAGUGGAAUUCCUGGUGUAGCGGUGAAAUGCGCAGAUAUCAGGAAGAACACCUAUGGCGAAAGCAGCUCUCUGGGACGGUACUGACGCUGAGACGCGAAAGCGUGGGGAGCGAACAGG